UCCCUGGUGGCUCAGCUGGUAGAGAAUCCGCCCGCAAUGCGGGAGACCUGGGUUCGAUCCCUGGCUUGGGAA
rnacentral:tRNA from 1 species